rnacentral:lncRNA from 10 species
GGAGAAUCAGGAGGUCAUGGGGCCUAUUGUUGGGUACAGGGUUAUGUUACCUUAGCUGUGCAUCUGGAAUCAGGAAAUCACUGCUUCCACUGCUGGCUCAGAAACAUACCACCCAGGCUGAAGUCUAGGGAUCAGGAAACUGGCUCCAACAUGAUGGACUCUGGAGCCAUGAUUUGCCUGCUAAAGCUGUGCCAGCAAGAUAAGUAUCUCCCUUCCCACUUACACUAGCUUGAAUUGGGGUCUUGCUCAAGUGCGUCUUCAGUGAAAGUUACAUCGAGUGUGCCUGCCUCUCCUGCCUCUCCUUCCACCUCCUCUAACUCUCCUGCUUCUACCACCCCUGAGACAGCAAGACCAACCUCUCGUCAGCCUAUUCAAUGUGAAGAAAAUAAGGAGGAAGACCUUAUGAGGACCUACGUCCAAUCAAUAAAUAACUUGCGGGAGGUUCUGGAGUCCCAUGGUUAUUAAUCUCUGGAGGCUUCACCAUCCUUUGUGGGUUCCUUUAAUUAUCUCCAUUGCCUCAAAAGCUAAAAAAGCAAGUCUUGCAGUUUGGUGGGAGAGAGUAUGCAGUCACCAACAUGGCAUGAAUUUAGGAGUGAAUAAACGAAAGAAAAGAAAAAAACCUAUUAUUUAGAGUGCUAUGAAUGGUGUAAGCAAGCCUCUUUUGAGAGAGAAGAGCUUCACGGAGAAGCAGAUUUUGCUGGUGGUGAAACAGGGGAAGGUCAUUCCUGGCAGAGGGAGCAGGUGAGCCCAGACAGGCCUGAUAGAAGUCAGUCUGACUCUUCCUUGACCACUUUAAGCCCCAGUAGCCGGCCCAGAUCCUCCCACGAUUCUUGCUGCCUCCCGAACUGCAGUGUGAGCAAAUGAGAUAAGUACAAAAUAUUCCUACACCACUGGCUCCAUGCUCUCCUCAUAUUCAAUCAUGAAGACUAAUGAACCAGAGAUGAUUACGGUGGUAAAAAUCCAAAUGCAGAUUUUUGCUGUCCUUACUAAUGAGAGAAAAAUAUAGUAGACCAUUGGCCUAAAGGCUCCAGAUGCGAUUCCUUUGUAACUUAGAGUGCAUUAAAAAAGCUUCAGUCAGCAAGAUAAGUUAAUUUUUUUAUGACCUUUAUAAACUCUUUUAGCCUGUAUCUCGGGAGCUUCUUAAAGAUUAAAUUUUAAAAAAUCCUUUUAGCUCAGGCCAACACAGCAUCUGAGUCUUUUUUGCUUCCAAGGCUACAUCCAAAAUCUAUAAAAAAAUUCUGUUCAUGACAAUUAUUGUCAAAGUAAUGAUUAGCUAACAUGUCAUUUUUAGUUUUUACUGUUCUUGCCUCUAUGAGACUAAUCCAAUAAAGCUCACAUCUUCUUAAUGUAAAAGUUGCAUGAAGGAUGCAUUAUUCCCGUUGACUUUGCCUACAUUUGCAAAUUCUUGAAAAAGCAAAUUGAAUUGUCACUAGUGGCACCUCUUUCACAGGAUGAUUGUUGGGUCAAAGUGAGAGUGUAGGGGACAAAUAUCAAGAUUUUUGUUAAAAGAAAAAAAUCCCUACCUAAGAACUGUAAAGCUGUAUUAAUAUAUAAUUGAGGCCAUGGACUUUAGUAGACCAUAAGGCACAGCUACCCAAGGUGAUGGGUAUAAUUUUGCAGGGGGAGGAAUGUCGGAGGAAUGUGAAGGGCUCUUCAUUGAUGGCAUCACAAAUUUAAUUUAUUAUGUGAAACAUGUAGUUUCUUCUCACCUCUUUGGUUGUAGGAUAACUGCUCCUUUUAAACACUGUGCUUUUGACUGGCUUGAUUGGUAACUACAAAAGUCAUCAUCCUAGGCAUCUGUCACUACUUCUAUUACAUCCAACCUACUGACCCAGAAAAUCUGUGGUUGACACAAUUGAUUUCUCUAAAAGAUUCAUUCAGCAUUUAUUUUAUUUUUGACAUCCACCUACAAGGUCCCACAGAAAUUUAGUACCUACAUCUCUGUGUAAGAGAAACACAGCCCUUUAUAAAAAGUGCAUAUCCUGAAGUGAGGAGCUGGAACAAAGCAGGAGUCUUGCUUAGAAUGAUUCACUGAAGUAACUGGAUUUAUUAAGAUGUAUGUGAGCUUUGGUGACUAUGCCACUGAAGACAUUUGUGCUCACCUCGUGAGAGGCUGCCACUGGAAAUAACAAC